rnacentral:misc_RNA from 1 species
AACGCACAUUGCGCCCUCUGGUAUUCCGGAGGGCAUGCCUGUUCGAGCGUCAUUUAAGCCCUCAAGCCCCGCUUGAUGUUGGGCGCGGUCCGGCAGGACCCGCCUGGAACCCGUUGGGCAGGACCGUCCGGCUCCAAGCGUAGCACGAUUUUAUCCCUCGCUUUGGAGGCCUGGCGGCCCUCGCCCGGGAACCCCCCUUCCACAGCUUGACCUCGGAUCAGGUAGGGAUACCCGCUGAACUUAA